ensembl:lncRNA
CGUUGCAUUAUGUCUCAGUAUCCAAUUUCAGGUUUAUAGGAAACAUCUGAGUAUUCUAUCUUCUAAUUGAAUAAUUGUACUUCUGUAAUAUUUCUUCUCAUAGUCUCGGUGUUGGGCCUAGGUAAACACAGUGAUUUUAGCUUCAGUGCUAGUGGAGAGAAAUUAUAUUCCCUCAUGUUUACUCAAUGUUAUUAUUCUCUUUGAGACGGUUCAAUGAGAAGUAGGACUUCCAACAAAAAUUUGUCCCUCCUGCAUCAUGCAAGUGUCUCUUCUUUACCUCAAUUAAUUUUUGAUAUGACAAAGACUCAAAUAAACUGCUGCUGAACUAAAUAGUGUAACAAGUAAAAUGAUAUUUGAUUAACUCCACACUGAAGACUUGUUUAUUAUUUUUUAACGCAUACAGAUCAAGGAAUUCAGAUGUACUUGCACAGAAGUUUCAGCUCAUUCUGCUUUUUCCUUAAACUCACUGAAGGAGAGAUUGUCUCCGGUGACAUCUUCAUGAUUUUAGAAAAGCUGAUGUAGACAGUACUUCUCAUAUUUUUCAUGUAUAACCUCAACUAUUUUGGAGUCAUUGUCAGCAAAAGUAUCUUACAGAAGCAUCAUUUAGGCUGUUCUGUUUUGUCAUGAAAGGAUAAUCAUGGCUUGAGAACAAGAUCCGCUUUCAUCCUUCCUCUAGCUUGUCAGUGCUGCAACUACUUCUUCCUUCAGGCUAAAAUACUGUGAUACAAAAAGGUCUUGAAAUGUAAUGUCAUACUGAAGCUAAAGAAUUAUACCUAUUCAAGAUAGGAUUUCAUAUGGGAUUCAAGCUUUUCAGUACUGAACUUCAAGGAGUGGAGUGUAACAAAGAGAAUCUGCAUCAUCACUCUUUCCCACCUGCCCUUAUGUGACAGCCCUCUUGGAGCCUUUUAUUCUCCAUGCUGAACAGCCAUAGCUCUCUCACCCUGUCCUCGCAGGGCAAGUGUUCCAUCCCUUGGAUCCAUCCCAUGGACCAACAGGUCUAUGCCUCUCCUGUUCCCAGGACUCCACAUCUGGCCGCAAUACUCCAGCCUUCGGACUACUAUCCUUCAUUCAAAGAGAGGAGAGAGAAAGAAAAAAAGGAAGCAACUUUCAGUUCCCGGUAGAGCACCUGGAGGAACUGCUGGAUCCAGAUGUUCUUCGUAAACAUCAAAGGAAACACUAUUUUAUGUGAAAGUGGUAUAAUAAAUGAAAUAAGUGAAAACUAUCUGCAAUUCUAAUACAUGCAGAACAUCUGGACUAUUGCAUUUCCUUCAUAUAUGAAUGAGGUCAGUUGGUAUCACCAUGUGCGGUGUUUGAAAAUUGUGAUGCUACUUGUGUUGCCUGCUCCGUAUCCCAAAAAAUCCCAGAGCUGCAUUUCUAAAGACUAACAGUUUCAUUAAAAGAAGAAAAAUUAAAAAGUUGUACUUACAGCCAGAUGUUCAUUUUACAUAACUUUGAAGAACUUCACCACCACAUGAAAAAUGUCCUUAAAACUCUUCUUCAUUCACCUGGUUCUGCAUGUAUUCUGCCUCUACCAGGGAUAAUUUUAUCCAAUGUUGGCUUCCUUUAUAUCUUUUACUUUCCUUGGAUG